CGGAGGGUGCGAGCGUUGUCCGGAAUCACUGGGCGUAAAGGGCGCGUAGGUGGCGCCGCAAGUCAACGGUGAAAGCUCGGCGCUCAACGCCGAGUCGGCCGUCGAGACUGCGGGGCUCGAGCACUGUAGAGGCAGAUGGAAUUCCGGGUGUAGCGGUGGAAUGCGUAGAGAUCCGGAAGAACACCGGUGGCGAAGGCGGUCUGCUGGGCAGUAGCUGACACUGAGGCGCGACAGCGUGGGGAGCAAACAGGAUUAGAUACCCUGGUAGUCCACGCCGUAAACGAUGGGCACUAGGUGCUUGGGGGAGCGACCCUCUGAGUGCCGACGCUAACGCAUUAAGUGCCCCGCCUGGGGAGUACGGCCGCAAGGCUG
rnacentral:rRNA from 1 species